rnacentral:rRNA from 1 species
UACGGAGGGUGCAAGCGUUAUCCGGAUUCACUGGGUUUAAAGGGUACGUAGGUGGGUUGGUAAGUCAGUGGUGAAAUCUCCAGGCUUAACUUGGAAACUGCCAUUGAUACUAUCAAUCUUGAAUACCGUGGAGGUCAGCGGAAUAUGUCAUGUAGCGGUGAAAUGCUUAGAUAUGACAUAGAACACCAAUUGCGAAGGCAGCUGGCUACACGAAUAUUGACACUGAUGCACGAAAGCGUGGGGAUCAAACAGG